rnacentral:lncRNA from 10 species
AGGGGAUCGGAGACCAGGGGUCUGCAGAAGGCCCCCAGGAGGAUCCACUGGCCUCUGUGUUCGGCCUAAAACCUGAAAUGGGAACAGCAUAGACAUGAUCCCAGGCCCACCCUUAUCCCUCGCCCAGGGCCCUUCCCAGUUACCCAGCCCAAGUUGGGAGGCAGAAGAUCCAUGUCACAGAUGGCCUGCAGCCUCAGGACCACCCAGCAGGCUGGAGCCCCUAUUUGACAAGUGACCCCAGGAACUGGGACCUGCAGGUGUGGGCGACUCAGGCCACCUUCCCAGGCGUGCUGAGCAAGUGAGUGCAGCGAGAGAACAUUUUGCUGCGUUUCCUAGGAGCUGGGCCCUUCAGACAUUCUCCAUAGCCCUCACUACGAAAGCCUGUCCCACAGGCGGCGGAGGCUCAAGGUGAUACCUAUUCAUGAUCCCUCACCUCUGCACAGUGCUUUACAGUUUAUAAUGUUUCUUCAUCCACAGAGUACCUGAUUUUCAUAACAACCCUGUGAGGUCAGUGUCCAAGAGAAACUGGCCACAGUGAACAUGGACGGAAAGGAGACCACAGCACCCGGG